UCCAAGAUGUGCAAUCCAUAUGGU
rnacentral:siRNA from 1 species